rnacentral:rRNA from 1 species
ACUCAAAUGAAUUGACGGGGACCCGCACAAGCAGCGGAGCGUGUGGUUUAAUUCGAUGCGACGCGAAGAACCUUACCAAGGCUUGACAUGUAUUCGCAACUCUUGGAAACAAGAGCCUCCGCAAGGACGGAUACACAGAUGUUGCAUGGCUGUCGUCAGCUCGUGUCGUGAGAUGUUGGGUUAAGUCCCGCAACGAGCGCAACCCUUGUCCUUAGUUGCAUAUCUAGGGAGACCGCCGGAAACAAACCGGAGGAAGGUGGGGAUGACGUCAAGUCCGCAUGACUCUUACGUCUUGGGCUACACACACGCUACAAUGGCUGGUACAGCAAGAAGCCACCCCGCGAGGGGGAGCAGACCUAAAAAACCAGCCCCAGUUCAGAUUGCACUCUGCAACCCGAGUGCAUGAAGUCGGAGUUGCUAGUAACCGCGUGUCAGCAUAGCGCGGUGAAUAUGUUCCCGGGUCUUGCACACACCGCCCGU